AAGACCUUGCGCUUUUGGAGCGGCCGAUGCCUGAUUAGCUUGUUGGUAAGGUAAAGGCUUACCAAGGCUUCGAUCAGUAGCUGGUCUGAGAGGACGGCCAGCCACACUGGGACUGAGACACGGCCCAGACUCCUACGGGAGGCAGCAGUGGGGAAUUUUGGACAAUGGGGGAAACCCUGAUCCAGCCAUGCCGCGUGAGUGAAGAAGGCCUUCGGGUUGUAAAGCUCUUUCAGCCGGAACGAAACGGUUACGGAUAAUACCCGUGACUACUGACGGUACCGGAAGAAGAAGCACCGGCUAACUACGUGCCAGCAGCCGCGGUAAUACGUAGGGUGCAAGCGUUAAUCGGAAUUACUGGGCGUAAAGCGUGCGCAGGUGGUUUUGUAAGUCAGAUGUGAAAGCCCCGGGCUCAACCUGGGAACU
rnacentral:rRNA from 1 species